AAGCAGAAACUUCUGUGACUUUUGUUCUCAUUUUAGUGCCAGUUGCACCAAUAGGUGGGUGUCCACGGAGGAAAAACGCAAACUUGGAGAAAUGCUGCGUUCAUGUGGUGUCUGAAUUAUUGGAGAAACGACCAUCCAACACAUGAAGGCCACAUUCUGCUAUUGGUUUCCCUAAAGUCAGAGAAGUUCUGGACCUGCUGUGCUGCAGGUUCACCUGUAUUCUAGUCGCACCAGGAAGGCACCAACCAUCCAUCGACCCAUCUUUAGAACCUGCUGUAUCCCUUUUGAGGAUACUGGAGCCAACCCUGGUUCUGUUGAGGCACAAGUUGCAGGGCCACACACCCACACACACCUCAAGUCCAGCUGGGAUUCGAUUCAAGGCCUUUUCACUGUGGGGCAACCCCUCCCAAAUCACAAUGUGAUUUACUUCAUUGCGUUGACAGCUCAAAGUGAAAGUGGUAAAGAUAAAGUGCUUUAUUCUGCUUGUACCUAAGUGUUCAUAAUCUAUGGAGUGUUCCGGACGGAAGGACAUUAUUUAUGAUUUCACAGAGUGAAUUUACACCAUCCCAAGACCAAUGUAAGGCAACAAGUGUUCGGAAUUAGAAGUGGGAGCAGUUACACAAAGCUGUAAUGCUGCUGUGUGUCUGUUUGUGCGACUCAACAGCUCUCUGACCCGUAGGCUCGCUGAACGCCGUGCUUAAGUGCAGACGCCGGCAGGUUGUAUUUCUCUUAUCGCAGUGACUCUGAAUCUAAUUCUCUGUAUCAGGGUCACUUUGACCACAGAAGUAUAUCUGCACAGGUUAGCAACACCAGAAGAAAAGCAAUUCAUAAACAUGUCCUCCUGAAGCAACUCUUCAUGCAUGUCCGACAAAAAAAAAAAAAAAAAACACACUAAAGAGAUGCGUCUUUUAGCUAAAACCAUCUAUCAAGUUGAGUUAUAGCAACAUCAGCUACUGUAAAUAUUUUAUCAAACUCACAAAAAAAUCCAGUGACGGCGGAUUUAACCACAGAAAUGUGAACGGCGGCUCAUUUGACUGCAGACUGAAGAAAUACACAAAAAUACAAAAACAAAAUUAUUUCUUAUUACAUUUGUUCUCUUUCAUAGGAAAAAUGCUACUAAAACAUGAUUUUCAUCGGAUGGGGACUUUAUAUGCUGCGUCUUAAUAUGCCAAGUAAAGAUGAGCACCGCAGACUUUUGUGCCUUUUAUCACUUAUUAAAAAGCCUAAAAAGCUUCGAUUUCUGGGAUCACAAUCUAUGUUGAAACAUUUAUAGCAGCUGGACCGAUUGAUAAAACAGAGCGACUUUGGUCCUGUUUGUUAACAUCUUCGAAGUUAAAAAUCAGAUUGCUGAACAAAAAGGUAAUAUUUUAAAUAAAAAUAAAAAAAGUAGCUAAGUUUGACUCAACACACUUUAGUAAAAAAAAUAAAAAAGAGCAGUUUUCCUGCUGUCUCUCAUUUAUAUUUUUGCAGCUGAUUUUCCAAACAGAUACUUAUUUUUUCUGAUUUAUGAAGCAGUAAACUAGUCAUUAAUAUUUUUUUAAACAGAGAAGAAAUACUUAUGUGGUUGUCAUGGUAACAAUUUGUGGCUAAAGCUGUGAUGUGGUGAGAAAAAAUAAAUACUGAGAUUUUUAUUCAUGAGUAGGAUUUUUUUUAUUCUUUUCACAUGUGGUAAUUGUGAUUACAAACUCACGGCUUAAUUGGUUUGACAUUAAAAAGCAAUUGUGCUUUUUUUCAAAUUAACAUUUAUUAUUUAGAUAAAUAAUUGUUUCUAUUGGAUAAAACUCAAUUUUCCAACUUUCUUCUCUCACGUCUUUAUUUUUUUUUUAAUGAUUUUCUUCUAAGGACUUAAAUUCACCAUUUUUAAAAUUUUUUUUCCAGUUUCCUGUUAUGGAUUUUGUUCAUUAUAGAAACAAAUCCAGAUGAUCACUUCAUAUGACAACUUUAACUUUGAAUUUAAACGUGUUUUAUUUAAUGUUCUUAAUUG